UGUAUCAUGGAGUCAGUUGUGCUAAGGUCAGGGCCCUGUCACGCCACUGCACAUGAGCUUCCUGUAGAAUCGAUGUAAAGUAGAACCCAUUCUGGUUUCAUCUUCAUUCCUGUAAUUCACCGUCGGGACUUUUAGUCCAUCUGGGCAUGUGCUGUUAAGCUGCUGAAAUCGUCUAGUUCCAUUUCCUUAGCAUCCCUUGACCUGUUGGUUCUCAUCUCUAGCCAGACACUAACUUAAGCUAUUUCCCUAUUUCCUUAGCUUCCUGUUCUGGGCCAACUGCUUGAAGCAUAGCAAGGGCAUGUCCCGCCUCUGUGUAAACUCUUUG
rnacentral:lncRNA from 1 species